rnacentral:rRNA from 1 species
UAACGCGAAGAACCUUACCUACUCUUGACAUCCACAGAACUUAGCAGAGAUGCUUUGGUGCCUUCGGGAACUGUGAGACAGGUGCUGCAUGGCUGUCGUCAGCUCGUGUUGUGAAAUGUUGGGUUAAGUCCCGCAACGAGCGCAACCCUUAUCCUUUGUUGCCAGCGGUUCGGCCGGGAACUCAAAGGAGACUGCCAGUGAUAAACUGGAGGAAGGUGGGGAUGACGUCAAGUCAUCAUGGCCCUUACGAGUAGGGCUACACACGUGCUACAAUGGCAUAUACAAAGAGAAGCGACCUCGCGAGAGCAAGCGGACCUCAUAAAGUAUGUCGUAGUCCGGAUUGGAGUCUGCAACUCGACUCCAUGAAGUCGGAAUCGCUAGUAAUCGUAGAUCAGAAUGC